rnacentral:rRNA from 1 species
UCGGGGAACGAUAACGGCGUCGAGCGGCGGACGGGUGAGUAAUGCCUAGGAAAUUGCCCUGAUGUGGGGGAUAACCAUUGGAAACGAUGGCUAAUACCGCAUAAUGCCUACGGGCCAAAGAGGGGGACCUUCGGGCCUCUCGCGUCAGGAUAUGCCUAGGUGGGAUUAGCUAGUUGGUGAGGUAAUGGCUCACCAAGGCGACGAUCCCUAGCUGGUCUGAGAGGAUGAUCAGCCACACUGGAACUGAGACACGGUCCAGACUCCUACGGGAGGCAGCAGUGGGGAAUAUUGCACAAUGGGCGCAAGCCUGAUGCAGCCAUGCCGCGUGUGUGAAGAAGGCCUUCGGGUUGUAAAGCACUUUCAGUCGUGAGGAAGGUGGUGUAGUUAAUAGCUGCAUUAUUUGACGUUAGCGACAGAAGAAGCACCGGCUAACUCCGUGCCAGCAGCCGCGGUAAUACGGAGGGUGCGAGCGUUAAUCGGAAUUACUGGGCGUAAAGCGCAUGCAGGUGGUUUGUUAAGUCAGAUGUGAAAGCCCGGGGCUCAACCUCGGAAUAGCAUUUGAAACUGGCAGACUAGAGUACUGUAGAGGGGGGGUAGAAUUUCAGGUGUAGCGGUGAAAUGCGUAGAGAUCUGAAGGAAUACCGGUGGCGAAGGCGGCCCCCUGGACAGAUACUGACACUCAGAUGCGAAAGCGUGGGGAGCAAACAGGAUUAGAUACCCUGGUAGUCCACGCCGUAAACGAUGUCUACUUGGAGGUUGUGGCCUUGAGCCGUGGCUUUCGGAGCUAACGCGUUAAGUAGACCGCCUGGGGAGUACGGUCGCAAGAUUAAAACUCAAAUGAAUUGACGGGGGCCCGCACAAGCGGUGGAGCAUGUGGUUUAAUUCGAUGCAACGCGAAGAACCUUACCUACUCUUGACAUCCAGAGAACUUUCCAGAGAUGGAUUGGUGCCUUCGGGAACUCUGAGACAGGUGCUGCAUGGCUGUCGUCAGCUCGUGUUGUGAAAUGUUGGGUUAAGUCCCGCAACGAGCGCAACCCUUAUCCUUGUUUGCCAGCGAGUAAUGUCGGGAACUCCAGGGAGACUGCCGGUGAUAAACCGGAGGAAGGUGGGGACGACGUCAAGUCAUCAUGGCCCUUACGAGUAGGGCUACACACGUGCUACAAUGGCGCAUACAGAGGGCAGCAAGCUAGCGAUAGUGAGCGAAUCCCAAAAAGUGCGUCGUAGUCCGGAUUGGAGUCUGCAACUCGACUCCAUGAAGUCGGAAUCGCUAGUAAUCGUGGAUCAGAAUGCCACGGUGAAUACGUUCCCGGGCCUUGUACACACCGCCCGUCACACCAUGGGAGUGGGCUGCAAAAGAAGUA